GCCAGAAAAAGCGUCUUGGAUUUUGAUGGCAUCUUCUAGGGCCUACCAUCUCUAUGGGCCUACUAAUUAUAUAUAGCGGUACACAUUGACUACAUUGUGUUCUAAAGGAACCAAAUAUCAAACAUGGCAAGUUUCGGGAACCUUUACUCAGCCAACGCGGCCCAAAUGCGAUAACAUGCUUUGGAAUCUUUGACGUCACGCUGACGUACUGGCGCUGGGGUUUCGGCGCGAAAUUAAAAUACUGAUACUUAAACCUUCAUUUUCUCAUUUAAUAACCAAACAAUUUUUUUUUAAAUGAAUGCUUGCAGGUUUCUUAAACAAUGCUUCAUUAGUCUAAACUGAUUUAUUGUUUCGCUUUAGUGUCCCUUUAAACAUGUCGGACCAACUGGCCCAAAGUUCCCCCCUCUUGGUCCUUGACUGCCUUGACUAUUAUAUGUAGUACUAUAGGUACUACUACAGUGUACUAGAAGCCUUCUAAUACACUGUAGUAUUACGGGUGAAAACGUUGUUUUCUCCGUUCGUCCAUGGUUCGUCCCUAGCCGAGUUGGCAACGUGGCUGGCACGGCAAGCCAUGCCCGAGUGGAUGUCGUCCUGUGCAGCUUCGUACGGGAACUACUGCUGCUUACCUGGUGCCACAACGUUGGAUGAAUGCAGAAAAUCCCGGAACUUGCAUUUAUAUAGAGCAAAAUAAACAUUUCCUCAUUU